rnacentral:rRNA from 1 species
CACGUUAACCCCCCUGUGACUUUUAUCGUGCUCUUGCAGCCCGCGAAAACAGCAAUCCUGGUAAAUCAGUCGCGAAAGUUGUAUUGAUUCAGGACCUCUGCGACGUGAGAAGUUACAGUUGCAAUUGAGCGUUCGAGGCAAGUGACUUGGUUUCCCAAAGCAAUUGGCGUCUGAAAGUGUCGCUGGUUGUCGAAGGAUAACGCUUUACGAUCGCUGUAGGCCGAACACCGGCCGGCGUCUAGGUCACCGGGCUCACGCCCCUUACAAACCCCACAGUUACCUAUAACGCAACCAUCGCAACGCAAGUGCACCGCCAUGGUUGGAAAACGAACAACUGUUAACAAUGGAUAUCUUGGUUCUCGCAACGAUGAAGAACGCAGCGAAAUGCGAUACGUAAUGCGAAUUGCAGAAUUCAGUGAAUCAUCGAAUCUUUGAACGCAAAUUGCGCUCUCGGGUUACCCCCAAGAGCACACCUCUCUGAGUGUCGGUUUAACCUAAUGUCACCAAUUUAUUGGUGUACGACAGCCUGAGGGUAAGGGGUUUCGGCCUUUUUCCCUUUAAAUCUCAGCCUCACGACUGUGUGUGUUCGUGGCAAGUUGCUUUCACUUAACUGUGAAUCCAAUCCACAAACCCUAUGUUGUGUAGCCAAAAGAAACAAAUGAACAAGAUUGUGUAUCUAAGAAGCUUGCUUCGAGGGUCUGCGGUUUUGUGCAUCUAUGAAUUAGACCUCAGAUGAAGUGGGAAGACCCCCUGAAUUUAAGCAUAUUAUUAAGGGGAGGAAAAGAAACUAACAAGGAUUCCCCUAGUAACGGCGAGUGAAGCGGGAAGAGCUCAAAUUUAAAAUCCGCUGGUCUAACAGCCUGUGGAGUUGUAAUCUAGAGAAGCUCUCUCAGUGCCAGCCUGGUUAUAAGUCCCUUGAAACGGGGCAUCAAAGAGGGUGAGAAUCCCGUAUUUGAGCCGGAGCUAAGUACGUACGAGGAGUUUUCUAAGAGUCGCGUUGCUUGGGAGUGCAGCGCUAAAUGGGUGGUAAAGUUCAUCUAAAGCUAAAUACUGGCUAGAGACCGAUAGCGAACAAGUACCGUGAGGGAAAGAUGAAAAGAACUUUGAAAAGAGAGUUAAAAAGUACUUGAAAUUGUUAACAGGGAAGGGGAGUCAACCAGUCAUUUCUAAGUUUCAUUCGCUUUUCUUUCGGGAGGAGUUACUUGAGGCUAAGAAGAGUCAGCAUCAUCUAGGGGCUUCGCAGAAACUGUGUGAGUUGGUGCGUUUCUUCGGAUUCGUUUAACUUAUGCAAUCUACGUUGUCGCUGGGUGAGGAGUGAUAACCCCCCGCCUUCGGGUGUCGGUACUCUGAGGUCUGUUUGCCCUAGCGCGUGAGAGAACAAAGUUCUGUCUGUGCGAAAGGUGAAUACUGCUUUAGAUGUGCCAGAUG